rnacentral:rRNA from 1 species
AGAAUGAACGCUGGCGGCAGGCCUAAAACAUGCAAGUCGAACGCUGUAGCAAUACAGAGUGGCGCACGGGUGAGUAACAUGUGGGAAUAUGCCUUUUGGUACGGAACAACGUUUGGAAACGAACGCUAAUACCGUAUGGUCCCUUCGGGGUAAAGAUUUAUCGCCAAAAAGAUUAGCCCGCACUAGAUUAGCUAGUUGGUAAGGUAAUGGCUUACCAAGGCGACGAUCUAUAGCUGGUCUGAGAGGACGAUCAGCCACACUGGGACUGAGACACGGCCCAGACUCCUACGGGAGGCAGCAGUUAGGAAUAUUGGACAAUGGGCGCAAGCCUGAUCCAGCCAUGCCGCGUGAGUGAUGAAGGCCUUCGGGUUGUAAAGCUCUUUAGCCGAUGAAUAUAAUGACUGUAGUCGGAAAAUAGCCCGGCUAACUUCGUGCCAGCAGCCGC